UACGUAGGGCGCAAGCGUUGUCCGGAAUUAUUGGGCGUAAAGAGCUCGUAGGCGGCCUGUUGCGUCCGCUGUGAAAUCCCGGGGCUCAACCCCGGGCGUGCAGUGGAUACGGGCUGGCUGGAGGCAGGCAGGGGAGAACGGAAUUCCUGGUGUAGCGGUGAAAUGCGCAGAUAUCAGGAGGAACACCGGUGGCGAAGGCGGUUCUCUGGGCCUGUACUGACGCUGAGGAGCGAAAGCGUGGGGAUCAAACAGC
rnacentral:rRNA from 1 species